UUGCUUCAGCAUCAAAUAGAGUAAAAUUGGAAGGAUACAGAGAAGAUUAGCAUGUCCCCCCUGCAGGUAUGUAAGUGCGCUUUUAUAUGCAAUACCCGAAUAG
ensembl:snRNA U6 U6 spliceosomal RNA